rnacentral:rRNA from 1 species
AAUACGGGGGGGGCAAGCGUUGUUCGGAAUUACUGGGCGUAAAGGGCUCGUAGGCGGCCAACUAAGUCCGACGUGAAAUCCCCAGGCUCAACCUGGGAACUGCGUCGGAUACUGGAUGGCUUGAAUUCGGGAGAGGGAUGCAGAAUUCCAGGUGUAGCGGUGAAAUGCGUAGAUAUCUGGAGGAAUACCGGUGGCGAAGGCGGCAUCCUGGACCGACAUUGACGCUGAGGAGCGAAAGCUAGGGGAGCAAACGGGA